rnacentral:rRNA from 1 species
CCUACGGGUGGCAGCAGUGAGGAAUAUUGGUCAAUGGACGAGAGUCUGAUCCAGCGAAGUAGCGUGAAGGAUGACUGCCCUCUGGGUUGUAAACUUCUUUUAUAUGGGAAUAAAACAGGGUAUGCAUACCCACUUGUAUGUUCCAUAUGAAUAAGGAUCGGCUAACUCCGUGCCAGCAGCCGCGGUAAUACGGAGGAUCCGAGCGUUAUCCGGAUUUAUUGGGUUGAAAGGGAUCGUAGGUGGAUUGUUAAGUCAGUUGUGAAAGUUUGCGGCUCAAGCGUCAAAUUGCAGUGGAAACUGGCAGGCUUGAGUACAGUAGAGGUGGGCGGAAUUCGUGGUGUAGCGGUGAAAUGUGUAGAUAUCACGAAGAACUCCGAUUGCGAAGGCAGCUCACUGGACUGCAACUGACACUGAUGCUCGAAAGUGUGGGUAGCAAACAGGAUUAGAUACCCUAGUAGUC